rnacentral:misc_RNA from 1 species
UCAAACUUGGUCAUUUAGAGGAAGUAAAAGUCGUAACAAGGUCUCCGUUGGUGAACCAGCGGAGGGAUCAUUACCGAGUUUUCAACUCCCCAAACCCACUGUGAACGCAUACCGCAUACGUUGCCUCGGCGGGCGCCCGAGGCCCCCGCCGCAGGACCCAAAACCCUGAAUCGCGCCGCGGCGCACCCUGAAUUUUGUGAGCGAGCGAGAAAUAAAUCAAAACUUUCAACAACGGAUCUCUUGGUUCUGGCAUCGAUGAAGAACGCAGC